rnacentral:rRNA from 1 species
GGCGGCGUGCUUAACACAUGCAAGUCGAACGAGACUAUUGAAAGCUUGCUUUUGAGAGUCGAGUGGCAAACGGGUGAGUAACGCGUAGACAACCUGCCGUAAAGAUGGGGACAACAGUUCGAAAGGACUGCUAAUACCGAAUGUUGUAGAGUUUCCGCAUGGGGAUCCUACUAAAGGUGGCCUCUACUUGUAAGCUAUCGCUUUACGAUGGGUCUGCGUCUGAUUAGCUAGUUGGUGGGGUAACGGCCUACCAAGGCGACGAUCAGUAGCUGGUCUGAGAGGAUGAACGGCCACAUUGGAACUGAGACACGGUCCAGACUCCUACGGGAGGCAGCAGUGGGGAAUCUUCCGCAAUGGGCGCAAGCCUGACGGAGCAACGCCGCGUGAGUGAAGAAGGGUUUCGACUCGUAAAGCUCUGUUGUCGGGGACGAAUGUCAGGACUCAGAAUAUGGGUUCUGAAUGACGGUACCUGACGAGGAAGCCACGGCUAACUACGUGCCAGCAGCCGCGGUAAUACGUAGGUGGCGAGCGUUAUCCGGAAUCAUUGGGCGUAAAGAGGGAGCAGGCGGUGAUACAGGUCUGGAGGUGAAAGCCCGAAGCUAAACUUCGGGAAGCCCCGGAAACCGGAUCACUGGAGUGCGGAAGAGGAUCGUGGAAUUCCAUGUGUAGCGGUGAAAUGCGUAGAUAUAUGGAGGAACACCAGUGGCGAAGGCGACGGUCUGGUCCGCAACUGACGCUCAGUCCCGAAAGCGUGGGGAGCAAAUAGGAUUAGAUACCCUAGUAGUCCACGCCGUAAACGAUCGAUACUAAGUGUCGGGAGUCAGAUCCCGGUGCUGCAGUCAACGCAAUAAGUAUCGCGCCUGAGUAGUACGCCGGCAACGGUGAAACUCAAAGGAAUUGACGGGGGCCCGCACAAGCGGAGGAACAUGUGGUUUAAUUCGAUGAUACGCGAGGAACCUUACCCGGGCUUGAAUUGCAGAGGAAGGAUUUGGAGACAAUGACGCCCUUCGGGGUCUCUGUGAAGGUGCUGCAUGGUUGUCGUCAGCUCGUGCCGUGAGGUGUCGGCUUAAGUGCCAUAACGAGCGCAACCCCUCUCCUUAGUUGCCAUCAGGUCAAGCUGGGCACUCUGGGGACACUGCCACCGUAAGGUGUGAGGAAGGUGGGGAUGACGUCAAAUCAGCACGGCCCUUACGUCCGGGGCUACACACGUGUUACAAUGGCAGGUACAGAGAGAUGGUGUUCUGCAAAGUGCAUCUAAGCCUUAAAGCCUGUCUCAGUUCGGACUGGGGUCUGCAACCCGACCCCACGAAGCUGGAUUCGCUAGUAAUCGAACGUCAGCCAUGGCGCGGUGAAUACGUUCCCGGGC